rnacentral:rRNA from 1 species
AUACGGAGGAUGCGAGCGUUAUCCGGAUUUAUUGGGUUUAAAGGGUGCGUAGGCUGUGCGUUAAGUCAGGGGUGAAAUGCCGUCGCUCAACGACGGAGCUGCCCUUGAUACUGGCGUGCUGGAGUACGGAUGCCGUUGGAGGAACGAGUGGUGUAGCGGUGAAAUGCUUAGAUAUCACUCAGAACACCGAUUGCGAAGGCAUCUGACGAAUCCGUCACUGACGCUGAGGCACGAAAGCGUGGGGAUAGAACAGGAUUAGAUACCCUGGUAUUCCACGCCGUAAACGAUGAUGACUAACCGUCGGCGAUAGACAGCCGGUGGCCAAGCGAAAGCGAUAAGUCAUCCACCUGGGGAGUACGUCGGCAACGAUGAAACUCAAAUGAAUUGGCGGGG